CCCAAGGCUAACCAGGCUAACCCGAAUUAACGUGUCAACACUUCUCAAAAGACCAGUUUGAUUAAUUUAUUUAAAGAGAACACUUUAGAGGAGGAUAAAAGAACAAGAGAGAAACAAAUGACCCAUUUUCUGUUAGAGCGAAGGACGAACGGCCCUCAAAUCAACCACAUAGUGAACUGCAGCACCUGUGGCCGCCCACCGUCUAAUAAUGUCCCUAAAGGCAUCACAGGAGGCCACCAGUCAAAGCUUGUGGGCGUCAGGAGUGUUGUGUGUGCAUGGACUUCGAAUCAGGGCAAGCUGUGAACGGCCCGGUGCCCUGCGCUUGGAGGCAGCCAUCUGUCAGCUGACGCUUGGUCGACACGGCAAUCAGAACGCGCUGCGGCGGCUCCAAUCUGUUCCACCACAGCUUAGCGGCCAGAAUCAACAUCCAGGCUGAGAGGAAAGCAAUUGAAACGUCUGCUGCACUGAGGGACUUCCACACGCCGUCCACGUACUGCAAACACGACAAACACUCAAAGCAGUAACAUGCAGCGUCCAGCUCUUCAUUGAGGCAACUCAUAGAUAAAUGGCACAAUCCUAACAAAUAAUGUCCAGGGUGAAAAAGAAAGGUGUGGACUUUGAAAAGGACAAACAGUACGUGUGGUAAUAGUGACUAUAUGUGGUGAAAUGCAAGUGAAUCGUGCCUGUCAGUAUUUCUCUAAACAAUCUUACUUGUGUAGUGACUUUAGCUCAGUGUGUACAAUUAUAUAUUUUGUGUAUAAACAUCCUGUAAUUGGGAAGAUUGUCUGAGCAAGUAAAAGAAGAGAUCUCAGGUACAUGAGAGAUUUGUAUUUUGUGAGUGCAUUUAGCUUGUAUAGUGGGUGCGUGUGUGUGUGUGUGUGUGUGUCUGAGUGAGUCAUUGGUUGCUUGGCAGCAG